CUCGGGACUAAGCUGUGGGCGCGGUGCCAACGUUGGAAUGAAAGCAGCAACCGCCCGGCGGCCUUGCGGCGCAGGUUGGGGCGCCGUGGGAUUUUCCUGGCGCAAGGAGCUUCCCAGCGGAGGCGCCUUGGUGGCUGGGGCGGUCUGCUUGCGUGAGGCAAACCCACAUGAGGGGGAGCUCCCUACCAUCUACGGGGACGUCGGCCAUAGGGAGCAUGGCAGAUCAGCGAGAAGCACCACCGGCCGAACAGACGAGUGCAACCGAGAAGGCCACAUGAGCCGAGACUGUCCCACUGCUCACUGUGGAGGACGACGAGGAUGCCUCAGGUGUGGCGAGGAAGGCCACAUGAGCAGAGACUGAUUGCAGACACGUGGGCGCGACACCCCCAGAUGUGGGUCGCUACGCUUCGCGUGCGGCCAGAUUACGUGUUUUGUGUGUAUUUUGUCGUUUAUUAGAUCGUUACAUAUAAAGAAAUUCAAAAAUUUC
rnacentral:lncRNA from 1 species